rnacentral:sRNA from 1 species
ACCUAAACCCGAUGGCAGCGGGCAUGAAAUAAAGCGGACAGCGGGCAUAACA